UCUCUGGCGUUCACUUUGCCCUUGGAUCAACGCUGUCAGGCUGCCAUUCCAGUGUUCCUCCAUUUGUGACCUGUUUCUGUUUCCCAGAAACAAUCCUCGUUAUUCCUGGACCUGCCAGUAUUUUCCUGAGUUUACAAAGAUCGACAAUAAAGCGGCCCGCUACUGUGUUAAUGAUUUUUGAGUGAGGCGAGUUGACCACGUGCCACACCACAACCACCCCUGUACCGUUCUAACCGUCUCACCAACAAACCCGCAACCACCGCCAGCCAAGUAGAGCCCAUCUGUUGUGCCAGUCAUGGACUCCAUGGACAAACCUCUGCCCAACGAUGAUCCCUCAGUCACCCUGACCAUUCGACUUAUUAUGCAAGGCAAGGAGGUUGGGAGCAUCAUUGGAAAGAAGGGUGAAAUUGUUAAAAGAUUUAGAGAGGAGUCUGGUGCAAAGAUCAACAUAUCUGAUGGCUCCUGUCCCGAACGAAUUGUCACUGUCACUGGACCGACAAAUGCAAUUUUUAAAGCUUUCACCCUUAUCUGCAAGAAAUUUGAAGAGUUCCAGGAGAUGCAGGGUGGAGGAGGGGGCGGUUCGGGCAUCCCCCGACCUCCGAUUACCCUGCGGCUCAUCGUUCCCGCCUCGCAGUGUGGAUCCCUCAUUGGAAAGGGUGGCUCAAAGAUCAAGGAGAUACGAGAAGUCACGGGAGCAUCCAUCCAGGUAGCAUCGGAGAUGCUGCCAAACUCGACGGAACGUGCUGUCACCAUCACGGGUACCAGCGAAGCUGUCACUCAGUGCAUCUACCACAUUUGCUGCGUCAUGCUUGAGUCACCACCGAAGGGCGCCACUAUCCCGUACCGGCCCAAGCCGCAGGUUGCGGGACCCGUGAUCCUGGCUGGUGGUCAGGCUUACACCAUCCAGGGUAACUAUGCGGUGCCGGCCCACGCUGCCGACGUAAGUACAAUGCCCCUGUUGCACCGUGCGGGUCCGGGGCCGGCGAUGCCGCCCGUGCCCGUGUCAGUGUCGCUGUCGGUCCCCCCCGGCGUGGGGCACCCCCACCCCCAGUUGGGCCUGCCCCCCUCCCCUGCACUGCUGGCCGCCGCAGCCACCGGGCUCGCCGACCCGCUGCUGAAGAACGGCCACCUGGCGGCUGCUCUGCCUCCCGCCCACCUCGCUGCCGACAAGAUGGGGAUGGGCAAUUCCCCAUUGGCUGGCCUGGCUGCUCUCGGACUCGGUGGCCUGAACGCUGGCACAACAGGCGGCCUCAAUCCAGCAGCUUUGGCCGCCUUGGCGGGAAGCCAGCUACGCACGAACAACCAGAACCGUGCACAGCCUGGAGCUAACCAGCAGACCCACGAGAUGACAGUCCCAAAUGAGCUGAUUGGUUGCAUAAUUGGAAAGGGUGGCACAAAGAUUGCAGAGAUUAGGCAAAUUAGUGGUGCUAUGAUCCGCAUCUCAAAUUGUGAGGAACGUGAAGGUGGGCCAACUGAUAGGACCAUAACAAUCACAGGCAAUCCAGACUCCGUCGCACUGGCGCAGUACCUGAUCAACAUGAGGAUAUCUAUGGAAACAGCUGGGAUGCCACUGCCAGGUUACCAUUACAUUGCACCAAAUCAUAUUGUCAAAGCUCCAAUUCAUUAACUAAGAUGGUAUAUUAUCUUAAUUUGACUUCCUGAUAGGAAUGGUCUUCAAAAGUCAUUUAAAGCAAGUGAUGCAGCACUCACUGUACAUUGUUAAGUUUUGGUAAAGUUGAUGCACAUUAAGAGACAUAGUCUACUGUAUACUGUUUAUGAUAAAGAAGUGAGGUUCAGCAGAAAUAUCUGUGAAAAUUGGAAUUGUAGCAAACUGACUUUUGUGUGUUUAUUUUCUUUGGAAAGCCAUGGUAAAGUUAAACAAGAAAGAAUGGACUUAAGUUUUAAUACAGGCAGAGCUUUAACAUCAUUGGCAAGUUGCUAUCCCAUUGUAUUAUUUAUUUUUAACACAGUAAGUUAUUCAAAAAUGUUUUAAAUUAGUGGAAUGACAAUUUGCCAUGUGAAAAUUUAGCUAGGAGGUAAAAGGGGAUCAAGCCAAAGAUUUUUUUUGUUUUGUUUAUUGUAUGUAAUAUUUUACAGUGGUUACACUCUUAAUUGCUCCUGUUAUUGUCAUUUAAUGGCAUUCCCGUGAUGAAGUUGUUAAUGUUAGCAGUAAUGAUUAGCUAUGAUAAAAGUGUUUUCUUUUCUUGAAGAGCAAAUUCUCACUGCCCAACAGGAAAGUAAACCACUUAAUGGGCUUAGAAUGAAAAACAUGUUUGUUGUUCAGUGCCCUUGUAAUUUUAUUGUACUGUGACAUAUUACACUGUCAACACAGUUGUGGCACAGUAUUGUGACUGGGUAGUGAAUCAGUUUGCAAACAUUUUAGUCUUCCUUGACCUGUUGAAAUUUUCAUCAGUUUUAUACGUAUCUUAAAUCUAGCCAUAUCAGUGUUUCAUCUUAAAACAUAAUUGAUUGCUAUAAGUGAUUUGUACUGAAAUUACAUGGAAACUGAAUCAGUAUUUUAAGAUAUGGUGUUUCUCAGUACACUCUCACAAAAGCUGCUCAAGUUUUUCAGUAUUGGCAUAAGAGUGCUGGUGAGAUCAGUGUGUAAAGACUAUACACAAAUAGAUAAAUUGGGAACAGUUUGGGAGUGGGGGUGAAUAAUCAAAAUUACACUGUUUGUUGGAGUUCUCAGUCAAUACUUUACAUAACUUCUAUUGAUUCAUAUCAUUUUGGGGAAAGAAUCAUAUCACACUAGGGCACAUGUAAAGUAUUUUAUUCAUUUUCUGUGAUGUUUUGUGAACAUCUUGGUUAGAAAAAUGUUAGCUGUUUACAGAUGCUCUGUCUUACAGUUAUUGUUAAAGUACUAACUGAAAUAAGCAUGUCAUUAAAAUGCUUUUUUACAAUCAUCUAGUCAUGAAGGCAGCUGAUUAAAUAUUGCAAAAUACUGAUUUAAGAAGUUGAGUGCUGUUGAGUAGGUAUACUGAGUAUAAAGUAGGGACUGAUAACUUGAAAGAAAGCAAACACAUUAGUAUGAUACCACAUAUCCCCCUAUUAAUACAGUUGUCAGAUUUGCUUCCAUUACAUAUCCUGAGCACUAGUUCAUGUGCCAAAUUAUUUACAGUUUUAAAAUUUAGAAACCAUAUAAUGCACAUUUUAAGUGUUCUAGUAGAAAGACUUCUAUUAUUAUACCAACUUAUACUUCAUUCUUCUGUAAAAGCGUACUGUGAAUAGUUAGUAUAUUUUGUGUACUCUGUUUAUAAUAAAAAAAACUGUGUGUCAAAGCAAACUGAAGUUUUAUGCAAACCAACAUGUAUGCAGAAUGACAGUAAAUUAUGGAGAUAUAAACUUUUUAUAUUGAGGAGGCUCCUUUUGGAGUUGUGUAGUUUUGUGUGUCUUUAUUUAGGUAUCUGUCAUUCAGUUUCUAAGAAUUGUAUUUUUAAGAUCUGGAUAGGACCACAUUUUUGAUGUAUCACAUACUGUAAUUUGUGUUCAUUAGCUACUUUUUAUUGAAAAUUAAUUUUUACAAAUCAUUCUAAUUGGAUAUAACAUACUUCAUAUUUUGCGUUUUAUCUGGUCAAGUGCUUAUUGUGGUGAUACAUUACAGUUUAAUUGACUCUUAUAUCGGCAUAUAGUCCUUGUUUUGUAAAAAGCAAUUUGCAAGGAAUUUGGUUGUUUGCUACUCAGUGAAUUACCUUGCUGGUUUGUAAAUGCUAAAGCUUCACCAGUUGUCAUUGUGUGCAUUUUGUUAUAAAUAUUGUAUAUUAUUAUAAAAACAUUGUUUGUGUUUGAAAGUAGUUGGAGCUGAUAAUCAUACAAAAACUACAUUAAUUUGUAAGAAUAUUUUUGUGAUGGGGCUUGGAAUGCGUUACUAUGUGUGCUGUUGUGGCACAGAAUUAGUAUCAGUGAAGAAGGCUGGUCAGUGUGUCACCUAGUUUCCUUCUAAUCUAGUCAUUACAGUAGGGAUACUGAUAUGGCAAAUCAUAAUACUACAAUAAACACUUUGUGCCAUGUGUAUACACUUACAGUACAAAAUAAUUUUGUCUUUGAUUCUUUAAGAUUUUUGUAAGUAUGCAUUGGCAGACUUCAUUACUUAAAAAUAUCAGAUCUACAUAUCUUUUAGUAUACUUAUUUAUUUUAAUAACUGAUAUACCAUUGUUAGCACAUUUGUGCUGAUCUUGAUGUGACAGAGGGUAAAUGAUACAUAAAAGAUAUGUUAUAAUAACUUGUGUACAAUAAAUACUUCUCUCUGAUACACAGUAGUUCAUAGGUUAUUGUAAAACAUACUUAAAAAUAAGAGAUAGAGUUGUUGUCAUUUGGCAUCUGGACAAUCGUCAAUAUUUAGUAGGGAUGAAUGUUUUUAAGUGCACUACGCUCAUAAAUAUUUAUGUAAGGCUGUUUAUACUAAACUAUGUCAGUUAUCUCUUGUAGGUUGAUAAGCUUAAGUAUAAUUUUCAAUGUGUUUGUUUUUUAGAAAUUGUGAGCAUUUAAAAGUUCACUGCACUGCAUAUAUUUGUUGUAAAAUUAUUUGCAAUAACUUAUAAAUUUUAGUUGUUUUUUACUAAUGCAGAUAGUGAAUAUCUUUCAGAAGGUAUUUUUAUGCAGAAGGAGCAAUGUUUUUCUCAUGCUAGUCUAAAAAAAGAAAUAGCUAUUCUUGUUGAACAAUAGUUUCUUCCAUGUUAGACAAGUGCAUUAUGUGUUUGUUGGUAAACACUUUUUGAAGAGCCUCCAGAUGGCUCUUCAGUAAAGUGAGGUGUACAUUUUGGAGAGUGAGCAUUAGAGAACUGUUAAUAUAUUUACUAAAAACUAUCUAUAUUAAGAUAAUGUGUGUGCCAAAAAAGAAAAAAAACUGCAGUUGAUUCACAAUUGAAAAUGUUCAGUGCCAAAGUACAUUUCGUAGUUUUCAAAAGAAAAUUACUUUCAUGCAGUUUAAUGUAAAAGAUAGUCUUGUGAAUUGUAAGAUUUCAUAAUAUAUACUAUAUAAUAUAUAAAUAUUUAUAUUUCGUACAAGAACUUUGUUUUUGCUAUGCAUUUUAUUUAAAAAGGAAGUAAUAUACAUAAAAGUGUAAUAUAUAUACAUAUAUCUAUAUAUGGUCCGUACCGAAAAUGAAGAGUUUUGCUUCAGACGUUAUAAAAAAAGUAACUUUACUCUUGUCUUUAUCUUUAUAUUUAAAUUGGUUGUAUUGGAUGUCAGAGCAAGCUUUCGUAGUAUCUAUGAACUUUUCAACAAUAAUGAUCGUUUCUAAACGGGUUAGGAAAUAAAGGGUACAAACUACCUGUGUUUUCAGGGAUUAAGAAGACUAAAAAGUCUGUCUACCCUUCAUGUCACAAUGUUUCCUGCCCUACUGUCCUCCUUAUCUCAAGCUUUAGGUCCUGUUUUUUAUUUCUCAGUGUGUUGGUUGGUUCCCUAGGAAUCCUUUCUUCGCCAGAAACUGUGGCUAGUGCAUAAUAUACUGAAAAUGGUUAACAUUAAGCAUCCAGGAAAAACCUAUUCUUCUAAGAGCCAAUAAUGAUAUUGUUUUACCAACUGUGAAUUUGAUAAACCAGGUAAGGUAGAUAAUCCAUCCCUCUGACCUCCCUAAGUGUAUAACUGUAGAGAAACCAGGUGUGAAAAUAGGAUGAUGAUCUUGUAAACCCACGUAUCCCCCUGCAUGUAGAAAAGGAAGUUGAAAUAUAUGAUGCUGCUUCAUCAAAGAAAUUCAGUUGGUCUUGCUUCAUAGAAGAAAUUCAAUUGGUCUUUAAUCAUGUUCACACUGUACUAACUAGUAAUAAUAAUUGAUGUCUUUGAUCUAUUAAAUCAUGGUUUUUCCCAGGAAUGUUAGCUUACCAGUUUUCUUAUUUUUAUGAUUUGUCAAUCAAUAACCAUGUGAUUUAGCACUGUGUUGUAUUUUCAAGCUGUUUACUCCAAAGCUGUUCUUUCAUUGCAUUUUUGUUUGCAGUAUCAUUUAUUUCAACUUUCUUACGCUCCUGAUUGAGGCAUUUGAUAUGACCUGGAUUCUGAUGCAUGUGCAAUAAGAUGUCCCUCUUUGUAAGUUAUUUAAAGCAAAUACUGUUGAGGAAAGGGUAGGCAGAAACUAAUAAUAUUCUUAGAGCUCAGAGCAAUAAUGAGGAAAUAUUUUGAGUUGAAUGUGGAACAUAAUUACUUGUGAACAGUGUUACAGGGGCCUUAUAUGUUGAGACACCCAUCUUUGGUGACUGAGUAUGACUUUCCAAGCUUCGUCAGUGGUUGCGAAAGGGGGUGGAUUGCUGUUCUAUUUGCUUAUGAAAUAUUGGCAAUGUCACAAACGUCAUUGCUUCCAAAAUUUAUCAGUUUGAGGAAAAUUUUCUCUCUAAACAAGAAAAAUGAGUUAGUUUUUCAGUUGUUUACAGAAAAAUAUUGAAAACUUUUCAAUUUUGGGCUUAGUCUGUACUUUCCUAAAUGCCCAAUAAAUAGUUUAUUGAAUAAAAUAACGGAAAUUUCUUGUAAGAAAGGCAAUCAAGUACUGUUAAUAAAUAGUUCUUUCUUCCAUUGUAAACUUUUAAAGGUGUUUUAACAGAUGUUAAAUUCUCUAAUAUAAAUAUAAUUUAAACAAAAUUUUAAAGAUAUCUUUUAUAAAAUUGUUGAAGUUUUUGCCUGAUAUUGUCAUUUUUUAUAAAAUGAGACAAAAGUGUUCUGUGUUGAUUUAAAAAGCUGGUCUGGUAAAUUUAACAAUAAGAAUUUUAUUCAGGUUAUGAUUUACAAUUACUGCUAAAAUAUAAGUAAUUUUUAUCAUGAAGUUAUUUUGUCUUGGUCGCAGCUACAAUGUGUAAAAAGUGGGUCUAUGUUCUGCUAGAAAGUUGUAAAUGCUUUUCAAUUGUGAUAACAGAACACUUCUAGUUCUUUACUGAAAAAAUUGAUAUUGUGAUGGAUGACUUUCCCAGUGGAAACUACUUUGUGUAGGCUGUGCUAUGAAUCUCAUAUUGGCUACUAGGUUGCAGCUUGUGGCUCAUCUCAUGUGAAAAGUGUAAUAGGAAAGAUAUGUUUCCACUUUUGUAGUAUAAAUCAUAACCUAAAUAAGUGUCUCCCUCUCUACAGCAAAUGAUUAUUAAGCCUGUGUUGAUAAUUCCAGUGAUUAUUUCUUAUGAUUUUUAAUAAUUAGUAGACAUUUGAGUGUAUUUGUGAGGUUAGAGUAAGAACCCAGUAUAAACUUUCAGGAAAGUAUCUAUUGAAUUAUUUUGUACAGAAGUUUAAAUUUUUUGGGUGGGUCCUUAAUGAAUUUAAGGCUCUAGUCAAAUUGUAUACACAAAUUUUUAUCCCAAAUUUUUCUCUCCAACAUUGAUUGUAUGUACUGAACUAUAUGUCUGUGAUGCAAAUGCUGCUGCUACUUGAUCACAAAGAGCAACAUUCCAGAUUUUUCAUUUUUAAAUGUGCGUUUUCCUUUUGCUUUCCAAAUUUUGGACUGAACCUUACAUGUGAAUCUGUUUGAACUUAAACUGGUUCCAAAGCCACCUAGUAGCCUGUUGUGUAUAUAAGUGAGGUGCGUUAAUAUUUAUAUAUAAUAUAAAUGCAGUGUUAACUCAGGAAAUGUGCGUAUGCCCUUUUGUGCAGUUAUAAUAUCCUUGAGCGCUGUGUUGCCACAUGUUUAUUCACUUGUAACUCCUGAGCAGCAUAUUGUGCAGAAACUGCAGGAAUAGUGUUUUUGAGUCACAAUUGUAACAUUCAAGUGGACCAUGUGGUAACCUGGGUUCAGAAACAUCAACAACAGACCAGAUACACCCGUCAGACUAGAGUAACCACAUUGUCACCCAAGUUGAAAUCCAUUGACAGGACACCCAUUUUUCUAAAAAAAAGAGACGAUGGAAGAAGCUUUGUCAGUUUACCAUCACAACCGGUGUACUGGCCGGUUACCAGUUCCCUUUAGUGUAAAUUGAACGUGUGUUAAGAAAGUUUUAAAAUAUAUAUUUACUACUAGCCUUCAAAUGAACAGGGUCAAAACAUAUUCAAACAAUUAAAAAUAAUUUUUAAAGUAGGUAGUUGUACAAAAAAGCUGUGUUUUCAUAUGUGAAAUGCCAUAUCUUUGUAUAAAAUAAAAAACAGCAGUAUUGUUUUUUUCAUUUUGUGAUUUUUGUAUUAUUUAUAAAUAUAAGAAAUGGGAGGAUGUGGGACACACUUUAAUGGUGUUCCAAAUCUAUAAUCAGAUGAGAACUUUAUAUAAGUAGGGACUAUGUAAUGUAAUUUGGACAAAUUUUAAGAUCAUGCCAUCACUUAAUCUGUCAUUUUGCAGGACAAGCGAGUGAUAGUGUGAGCCAGGAUGUCUCAUUCACUGUAAUUAAAGCACUGUACAAAUUGAAAAACAGGUUUAUUUUACUAAUGGUUGAAAUAUGAACAAACAAUCGAUGUAUUUCCAAAUUUAGAAAAAUAAAAGUUCUCAUGUGGUUGCACUGGUAUGCAGUAAUGCAUAUAAAAUGACUUAUUGAUUGAUGGUAGGUGUAUUUGCCGGUACUUGUUAUUUGAUACCAAGGCAAACACGUCUGUGUUGUUUGUUGUAUACUCGUAUCGAGGAAGAUAAGGCUGCGUGGCUUUUUGGGGAGGGUAGAAGGAUGGUUAAUCUCUUGUAAAAUAGGGGGUAAAAUAGAGAUAAAUAUGAGGGCUGAUUUACUAUUGGCAUUAAUUGACAAUUGUGAUGAACAAGAAUUUAAAUCUCAUAUAAUUUUACUGCAGUGUUCAUGGAAUUGUGUAAACAUUGCGACGUGUGAUAAAAUUCCAUGCUGUUAGUGCUUUGCUUAUAUUAUAGUCCUGUACUUAAUACCCAUUUCAGGAAAAAGUCAGAAGCCUGAAAAGUAGACUUUUCAGGAAACAAAGCAAAAUUAGUGAAAUCUUUUCAGUAACUUUUACAUUGGUGCAAAUAGGAAAAAAUAAGAAAUUGUGCUUUAGGUUCAAGUGAGAAAUGAUUUAAGUGGUGAGAAUGUAUUGUAUUGUGAUGUGUAAAGUACUCAUAAAAUAGUUUUAUUUUUCAGAGGCAAUAACUGUUUAAUUUAAAUUUGGGCAUUAAAAAAGACAUGAUUUUUAGAUAAUGCACAUUCUGUCUUGUAUUUUCUGUCAUGUUGGUAUUUAACAGUUUAUGUAAGUUUGAGUUCUGAUUAUUAAAUUAUGUAUAUUUAGAAAGUCA